AGUAAAAGUCGUAACAAGGUUUCCGUAGGUGAACCUGCGGAAGGAUCAUUAAAGUAUCUUCUCGGAAGGGAGGCCAGCCCAGCUCCGGUCCCAAAAGGGCCGUGCAGCGGGUGAACCGCCCGACCGAAAACCACACAAACCCGUGCACUUUCCGACGGUGGAGGGAGACUGGGCGAAAGCUCGGGAUCCCGAACCCGUCUCCACAAACCCCCUUUGUUUUAAAGAAUGAUAUAGCGACCGCUGCGUCGCCUAACUUAAUGUAACAACUUUCAACAACGGAUCUCUUGGCUCUCGCAUCGAUGAAGAACGCAGCGAAAUGCGAUAAGUAAUGUGAAUUGCAGAAUUCAGUGAAUCAUCGAAUCUUUGAACGCAACUUGCGCUCCUUGGUAUUCCGAGGAGCAUGCCUGUUUGAGUGUCUUGAAGUCAUCAACCCCGACCGUUUUGCGACGGUUGCGGUUGGAGUUGGGGGACUUGCCGGCCGUUGCGGUCGGCUCCCCUCAAAUGCGUCGGUUGGGCCUGUGGGUCAAACUCGCUUGGGCGUUGUACCAUCCUCGCUCCUCGUGUGGGACCUGCUGAACUUGUGCCCCUCCUCGACCGUGCCCGGGUUUCGG
rnacentral:rRNA from 1 species